rnacentral:rRNA from 1 species
UACAGAGGGGGCAAGCGUUGUUCGGAAUUACUGGGCGUAAAGGGCGCGUAGGCGGCCGCCUAAGUCAGACGUGAAAUCCCUCGGCUCAACCGGGGAACUGCGUCUGAUACUGGGUGGCUUGAAUCCGGGAGAGGGAUGCGGAAUUCCUGGUGUAGCAGUGAAAUGCGUAGAUAUCAGGAGGAACACCGAUGGCGAAGGCAGGUCUCUGGGCUGACACUGACGCUCAUGCACGAAAGCGUGGGGAGCAAACAGG